CUACAACUUGCCACUAUGCUCCUAACUCCCCAAAGUGGAGUCACAUGGAUCUGGUUGAACAACCUUAGCUUGCAACACACUGAAGGCAAAUGGAUCAGACUGAGGAUGGUAUGCUGCUGGAAGAUACAGAUCAGAAGCAGUCAUCUUCUGUGGGCUGGAAAGUGAGAACUGUAACAGUAUAAAAACCAUUUGUAGGCUUUCUGUGCUCAUCUCCUUUAUCCUCAGGGUUGUUUUGAUGUGCUUUUUCCCCCCUUGUUGAUGUUUUCUUGCCUAGGUACCUCUACAGUACCAAAUCAUUAUUUUUAUAUUGUUAUACCAAAAUGCUCUUUCCUAUAUGCAGUGGACCUGCCAGAAUGAGAAGAUAUGCCAGGCUUUAAUGGAAUGAUGCUUUGCAAGAAAAUACAGAGAAUUUUUUUUUAAGCAUCACAAGUACAUUUGUGCUGAAUAGUUGUAGCAAAAAGAAAAAAAAAAUACUACCAGCAUCUACAGCAGUUGAACAUUUCAUGAUCAAUAUUUAGCAUAUGAAUAAUGUUUUAAUUACUGUCAUUUGUUCCUAUUCUUGAAAAGAAAGAGGUAUUUGUUUAUGCUUUAAAUCAAAAAGAUGAAUUUGUUUGUUUCUCAUUUGUCCUGUGUGCAUCAGUGUGUUUGAUGAGAAUACUGGUAAGAUCCAGGUGUCUUAAUCUGCUUUGUCCUUUACAUUACAUGCUCUUUAAUAAAUGUUUAUCUUAAUAGAA
ensembl:lncRNA